rnacentral:rRNA from 2 species
UAACAGGAUUAGAUACCCUGGUAGUCCACGCCCUAAACGAUGUCAACUGGUUGUUGGGUCUUCACUGACUCAGUAACGAAGCUAACGCGUGAAGUUGACCGCCUGGGGAGUACGGCCGCAAGGUUGAAACUCAAAGGGAUUGACGGGGACCCGCACAAGCGGUGGAUGAUGUGGUUUAAUUCGAUGCAACGCGAAAAACCUUACCCACCUUUGACAUGGCAGGAAGUUUCCAGAGAUGGAUUCGUGCCCGAAAGGGAACCUGCACACAGGUGCUGCAUGGCUGUCGUCAGCUCGUGUCGUGAGAUGUUGGGUUAAGUCCCGCAACGAGCGCAACCCUUGCCAUUAGUUGCUACGAAAGGGCACUCUAAUGGGACUGCCGGUGACAAACCGGAGGAAGGUGGGGAUGACGUCAAGUCCUCAUGGCCCUUAUAGGUGGGGCUACACACGUCAUACAAUGGCUGGUACAGAGGGUUGCCAACCCGCGAGGGGGAGCUAAUCCCAUAAAGCCAGUCGUAGUCCGGAUCGCAGUCUGCAACUCGACUGCGUGAAGUCGGAAUCGCUAGUAAUCGCGGAUCAGAAUGUCGCGGUGAAUACGUUCCCGGGUCUUGUACACACCGCCCGUCACACCAUGGGAGCGGGUUCUGCCAGAAGUGGGUAGCCUAACCGUAAGGAGGGCGCUUACCACGGCAGGGUUCGUGACUGGGGUGAAGUCGUAACAAGGUAACCA